rnacentral:lncRNA from 1 species
CGGUGAGAGUGGACAUCCCCGUCUCGUGCCUGGUCUUCGGGGAAAGGCUCCCACUGUUUCCCCAUUGGGACUGAUAAUUUGCCAGGGGCUUGUCGUAGAUGGCUUUGAAGAUGCUGAGGGACUUUCCCUCUGUCUGUAUACUCUGAAGCGUUUGGAUCAGGAAUGGACUUUGUCAAAUGUUUUCUCUGCGUCUCUUGAGAGGAUCACCUGGUUCUCGUUUUCUCUCUUGCAGAUCUGAUCAGUCACACGGAGUGCUUGCCGAGUGUUGAACCCGCCUUGCGUCCCGGGGAUAAAUGCCACCUGGUCACGAUCUGAUCAGUCACACGGAGUGUUUGACGAGUGUUGAACCAGCCUUGCGUCCCAGGGAUAAAUGCCAUCUGGUCACCGUGAGUAACUUCUCAAUGCACCGUUGGAUCGUAUUGGCUCGUAUCUUGUUGAGAAUGUUUGCAUCUGUGUUCAUCGGGGACAUGGUUCUAUCACUCUCCUUUUUGGUGGGGUGGGGUCUUCGUCUGCUUUUGGACAUCAGGUGAUGGUGGCCUCGUAGAACGAGUUUGGAAGUAUUCCAUCUCCAGAAGCUUCAGCUGGCCUCACUGUAGUCUCUGUGGCAGGCUCUCGAUUUGGUUCACGAUGGAGCUCAGUGGCCAAAGUCGUUCGCUCCACUGAGGCAGGUGGCUGCUCCGGCAUGUGCGGGAAACCGAUAGCAUGCACCUGGGUGUGCUCUUCCUCCCGGGUGGCCAUGGGUACAAGUAGCUCUUGCAUGUCGGAACAGUGAAUCAGAGGUGUUACCACCAGGUGCAUUGGUUUGGUCUCAGCAGCUGGCAUUUCGGUUUGAGCCGUGACCAGCUCGAUCACCUCUGGCCCUGAAGCUUUAGCAGGCCCCGAGGUAGGAGCUGGGGCUGGUUGUUGAGGUGGUUCAGGAUAUUGCACAGGGGCGGACGCUAGUUGCUCCACUGAGCCUGGUGGCCGCUCCGGCAUGUGGCGGAUCCUGAUAGCAUGUGGCGGGAUAUGAUCUAACGCGAGGGUGGCCAAGAUUGCAGGUGGGUCCUCCUUGUCGGGAGAGUGAAUCAGAGGUGUGACCACCUCGUGCAUUGGCUUCGACUCGGCAGCUGGCAUCUGCGCUCUGGCCAAGCACUCAGCACCGACAGUCCCGCCCAGCUCGAUCACCUCAGGCCCAGAAGCUUCACCAGCCCCCAGGUUCAGAGCUGGGGUGGACUGCUGACGUGGUUCAUGAUGUUGCUCAGGGGCCGAAGCUGGUUACUGCAGUGAGGCAGGUGACUCGUUUGGCAUGGCAUGCCGGGGACAUAGAUCGUGGGCGCCCUGGGGGAGCUCUUCUUGCAGGGUGGCCAAGUGUGCAGGUGGCUCCUCCAGGUCGGGACAGUGAAUCAGAGGUGUGACUGCCAUGUAAAUUGGCUUGGCCUCAGCAGCUGACAUCUCGGCUCAGGCCAAGCACUCAGCACCAACUGCCAUGCCCGGCUCCAACUGCUCAGGCCCAUAAGCUUCAGCUCGCCCCAUUGUAGUUGCUCUGGCGGA